rnacentral:rRNA from 1 species
CCUACGGGAGGCAGCAGUGGGGAAUAUUGGACAAUGGGGGCAACCCUGAUCCAGCAAUACCGCGUGUGUGAAGAAGGCCUUCGGGUUGUAAAGCACUUUUAGCAGGAAAGAAAGCCUGUACGCUAAUACCGUAUGGUUUUGACGUUACCUGCAGAAAAAGCACCGGCUAACUCCGUGCCAGCAGCCGCGGUAAU